rnacentral:rRNA from 1 species
AGCGAACGGACGAGAAGCUUGCUUCUCUGAUGUUAGCGGCGGACGGGUGAGUAACACGUGGAUAACCUACCUAUAAGACUGGGAUAACUUCGGGAAACCGGAGCUAAUACCGGAUAAUAUUUUGAACCGCAUGGUUCAAAAGUGAAAGACGGUCUUGCUGUCACUUAUAGAUGGAUCCGCGCUGCAUUAGCUAGUUGGUAAGGUAACGGCUUACCGAGGCAACGAUGCAUAGCCGACCUGAGAGGGUGAUCGGCCACACUGGAACUGAGACACGGUCCAGACUCCUACGGGAGGCAGCAGUAGGGAAUCUUCCGCAAUGGGCGAAAGCCUGACGGAGCAACGCCGCGUGAGUGAUGAAGGUCUUCGGAUCGUAAAACUCUGUUAUUAGGGAAGAACAUAUGUGUAAGUAACUGUGCACAUCUUGACGGUACCUAAUCAGAAAGCCACGGCUAACUACGUGCCAGCAGCCGCGGUAAUACGUAGGUGGCAAGCGUUAUCCGGAAUUAUUGGGCGUAAAGCGCGCGUAGGCGGUUUUUUAAGUCUGAUGUGAAAGCCCACGGCUCAACCGUGGAGGGUCAUUGGAAACUGGAAAACUUGAGUGCAGAAGAGGAAAGUGGAAUUCCAUGUGUAGCGGUGAAAUGCGCAGAGAUAUGGAGGAACACCAGUGGCGAAGGCGACUUUCUGGUCUGUAACUGACGCU